CAUGAUACAUGGCCUCAAGUAUACAUUCGUGAAAUAACAAGAGCCGUACUAUUCCCAACACUAUAUUGUGCCUAAAAUCAUGUUCCAUAGUAUGCAUCAAGUUGGAUGCGCGCAUGUCACCCAGCCCAAUCCAAGAGCCCAAUAUUUCUUGGUGCCACCCAUUCCCAAGAUAUGUGCUGUAUAUGCACAUCAAUUGCACUAGCUUGU
rnacentral:lncRNA from 1 species